rnacentral:rRNA from 1 species
UCUGCCUCUGAAUCGGGGAUAACGUUACGAAAGUGACGCUAAUACCGGAUAAUAUCUAGAAUGCUUCGGUUUUUUAGAUCAAAGGGGGCCACUACAUGUAAGCUUCUGUUUAGAGAUGAGUCCGCGUGCCAUUAGCUUGUUGGUAGGGUAAUGGCCUACCAAGGCUGCGAUGGCUAGCUGGUCUGAGAGGAUGAUCAGCCACACCGGAACUGAGACACGGUCCAG